AUUAGUAAUAGUUAAUUUGUUUUUAUUAAUAAAAUUACUUUAAAUUUUUUAAGUGAAAUUUUAAAUUUAAUUAAUUUUAUAUAAAAGAAUUGAUGAAGCUAGAAAAUUUUAAUAAUAAACUAGGAUUAGAUACCCUAUUAUUUAAAAAGUAAAGAUAAAUACUUGAGUAGUAAUAGAUAUGAUCUUCAAACUUAAAGAAUUUGGCGGUGUUUUAGUCUAUUUAGAGGAACCUGUCCUGUAAUCGAUAAUCCACGUUGGACCUUACUAAAAUUUGUUGUCAAUUUGUAUAUCGCCGUUAUCAGAAUAUCUUAAAAGAGGAAUAAUUUUCUUAAUUUAUUAUUAUAAUUGAUGUCAGGUCAAGGUGCAGUUUAUAUUUUAGUAGAGAUGGGUUACAAUAAACUUAUUUAAACGUUAAAUUGUUUGAAAUAAUGAUUUUAAGGUGGAUUUAAAAGUAAAAUGAUGAAUAUAAUUUAUUUGAUUAUAGCUCUAAAACAUGCACACAUCG
rnacentral:rRNA from 1 species